CGCAAAGCAUCACAUCUUUUUACAGAAAGACGAAUAACGAGAAGGAUGCUAUAGAGCCGCAAAGUGCGUCGUUGAUACCUACGAGGAAUUGGCAGUGUAAGUGAAAUUGUGCAGUUUCAUCAUCGUACACGAGUAACCGGCCCAGUGUCUGAUCUCUUUCCAAUAAGACUUCAGACUUUUCUGCAGAUGCAAACUACCAAGGUUGGAUUCUGGAUGAGUAUGCCUGUUGAAGAACCGUAGCAGGAGCAGGAAGCAGGAUAAAUGAAACCGCGCUGGCAAAUUUUGCUACAGAACAAAAUUGUCAGGAUCAUGAUUCGACCUACUAUUUGAUGGAGUCCGGUACAAGAGCAAUCUGGCGGAACGGGAUUCACGGAAGAAGUUGCUAAGCAAUGAUAACAUGCGAGUAGUCGAAGAAUGCAGUCACGGCCUGAUCAGCAUCCUAUAGUCGUGUCAUCAAGAAAAAACAAGACGUAUGUAAUUUAAAAAAAAAAUGAAAUUUUAAA